CCCCGGAAGCGCUGGCGCACCGCGACGCCCCGAGUCGACCUCGCUCACCGAUGGAAAUUCCGGCCGUCCAGCCGCACUACCACCCAGCAGUGUGCCAGGCAGGUGUCGUCAGCCUCGAAGUCCCUCACGUACUCGAACUUGCUUUUUGCCAUGGUCGCCCCCAAUCUCAGGGGUUCCAGAAGUCAGAGGAUGUGGUUGAUGGAGGGCUUGGAAAAAGAUGUUAGGAAAAGAGAAAGAGGAAAUUAAAUAUGCAAUACCGAUUAAAAGGAAGAGGUGGAUAAAGAAGAAGAAAAGACAGAAGAAAAGAAAGAAAAAAGAGAAAGAAAAAAGAAAGAAAGAGAAAGAAAGAAAAAAGAAAGAGAAAGAAAGAAAGAGAAAGAAAGAAAAAAGGAAAGAAAGAAAAGAAAAGAAAGAAAGAGAAAGAAAAGAAUAGAAUUUGGUGUCCAUAAAAUGUUUUGAGGCCCUAUAUCACAAAGAACUCUAAUACUUUUUAGAAAAGGCAAGGUAUUAAGACAUCUUGAUAUAAUAUAAAAAUAAUAUUAUUGAUACAGAGACAGAAUCAUAUUCACUGAAGUGUAAAUUUCACCACAUAGCUAUGAGUUAUAGGGCUGCAUGUAGAGUGGCCCAUAAUCAUUUGGCCCUGAAAGGGUCAUACGUUGGUAGAGAGAUUGAUGCAGGCAGAUAUUUCAAUUUAAUUUUUUCCAGUGACUGGGCUGGCUUAUUGAAUAAAAGAAUUUGAAUUCUUCAUGCCCAUCUAAAAAUGGAAUCUGGAAUGUGAAUUGACUUUCUGAUUUGGCUUAUACUAUUAGUCAUUCCCAUGCAUUAAAAAUUAACGGUAGAAGAAAAUCUAAUAAAUAAUUCAUGAUUUUUUUUUUGCUUGGGAAGAAUUAUUUCCUAAUCUGAGUUCAAUGAUAGCUUUCAUUUUAGCAAUAGGAAAAAAAGUGCAUGACAAAUACUACUACUCAUGCUUGAUUUUUAUUACUCAUUCUGGUUACUUGAGUAACAAAAGAGGUUCCUUAAACACUCAUACACAGAAUUUCUCCUGUAGAUAUUUCAGGCAUAGUUUUCUUCUGUUGCAUAGUAGUCUGUGAAGAAACGUUAAAUUAGGAAGAGAAUUCAAAGAAUUCCAAAGACUGAGCAACAUCACAUCACUGACAUAUUUACACUAUUUAAGGAAACCUUUUUCUCCUUCCUUUUUUCAACCUGCUUUCUUAGGUUGAAAAAGAAAUCUUUUUUAUCCAUGAUAUUUUGUUUUUGAAGAUUACUGCCUGUGUACACAUUUUUAGGCAAAAUCUCAGCAACUCCUGGCCUAUUGGAUUUGACUCAUUAUGGAUAUAAUCCAAAAGUUACCUUCGUUUUUAAGUUACUAUAUUUGUAAAGAACAAUUCUGUAAAUAUAGAAUCUCAGGAUGAGUAAAUGUAAUAUAAAUCAGAACCUAGAUAGAGUAACGUUAUGUAUAUAUCUAUAUAAGCAUAACCCACAUGUCUUCACUCUCUAACUAUAUUUAGGCUGUAUUUUACAUGUCUGAAGUUGAACAUCAUCUUUUCCAUCUACACAUUCAGUUUUGGUCAGAUUUAUUUUAAUUUUCCCAGUCAACCAGGUUUGACAAUUUAGAAUAAUUACUGGCUGUUCUUCAUUCUCCAAAAAUAAUGGUCAACAUAUUGAGUGUUUAUUCAGUUCCAAAUUAUAUGUUAAGCCUUUACAUAAAAUAUAACCUCACAAAAAUUAUUUUAAGUAUGCACUGUUAUUCACAUUUUAUAACUGGGGAAACAGUCUUAUAGGGAGUGACUUACCCAAGGUCACAUAGUGGGGGAGCCAGGAUAGGAAGCCAGGAAUGCAAUGCAAGAGCUUAUGUGCUUAACUCAUUUUUCUGUUCUACCUCUCAAUAACACCAUCAUAUUGAUCUAUAGAUUCAUUUAUUCAUUCAUCUGUUAAUUGAUUCAUUCAUUCCACAAACGCUUUUUUAAAAAAUUUUACUUUCCAUUGCAACAAAAUCCACAUUCGACACAAACGCUUCUUAAGCAAUCAUUUUCAAAUCAGAGACUGUAGACCGUGCUAGGAAUUGAUUAAGACAAGGUCCUUGCUCUAACAAUUGAGGUAGCAAAUUACAUUAACGAAAAAUUAAAGCAUGAUAUAAGUGUUUUA